rnacentral:rRNA from 1 species
CCUACGGGUGGCAGCAGUGGGGAAUAUUGGGCAAUGGGCGCAAGCCUGACCCAGCAACGCCGCGUGAAGGAAGAAGGCUUUCGGGUUGUAAACUUCUUUUGUCAGGGAAGUGUAGAAGGCGGUACCUGCCGAAUAAGCCACGGCUAAAGACGUGUCAGCAGCCGCGGUAAUACGGAGGUGGCAGGCGUUGUCCGGAUUCACUGGGUGUAAAGGGAGUGUAGGCGGGUUGACAAGUCAGAUGUGAAAUCCUGCGGCUUAACCGCAGAAUUGCAUUUGACACUGUUGAUCUUGAGUACUGGAGAGGCAGAUGGAAUUCCUGGUGUAGCGGUGAAAUGCGUAGAUAUUAGGAGGAACACCAGUGGCGAAGGCGGCCUGCUGGACAGCAACUGACGGUGAGGCGCGAAAGCGUGGGGAGCAAACAGGAUUAGAUACCCGAGUAGUC